rnacentral:rRNA from 1 species
UACGGGGGGAGCAAGCGUUGUUCGGAUUUACUGGGCGUAAAGGGCGCGUAGGCGGCGCAACAAGUCACUUGUGAAAUCUCCGGGCUUAACCCGGAGCGGCCAAGUGAUACUGUCGUGCUAGAGUGCGGAAGGGGCUACUGGAAUUCUCGGUGUAGCGGUGAAAUGCGUAGAUAUCGAGAGGAACACCUGCGGCGAAGGCGGGUAGCUGGGCCGACAUCAUCGCGCUGAGGAGCGAAAGCCAGGGUAGGACGAAACAGG